rnacentral:rRNA from 1 species
UAACACGUGGGUAACCUGCCCAAGAGACUGGGAUAACACCUGGAAACAGAUGCUAAUACCGGAUAACAACACUAGACGCAUGUCUAGAGUUUAAAAGAUGGUUCUGCUAUCACUCUUGGAUGGACCUGCGGUGCAUUAGCUAGUUGGUAAGGUAACGGCUUACCAAGGCAAUGAUGCAUAGCCUAGUUUAGAGACUGAUCGGCCACAUUGGGACUGAGACACGGUCCAAACUCCUACGGGAGGCAGCAGAA